rnacentral:rRNA from 3 species
CAUAACGACUCUCGGCAACGGAUAUCUCGGCUCUCGCAUCGAUGAAGAACGUAGCGAACUGCGAUACUUGGUGUGAAUUGCAGAAUCCCGUGAACCAUCGAGUCUUUGAACGCAAGUUGCGCCUGAAUCCAUUUGGACGAGGGCACGUUUGCCUGGGUGUCA